rnacentral:rRNA from 1 species
UGGGGAAUAUUGGACAAUGGGGGGAACCUUGAUCCAGCCAUGCCGCGUGUGUGAAGAAGGCCUUAUGGUUGUAAAGCACUUUAAGCGAGGAGGAGGGUACUGGUAUUAAUACUACCAGGUACUGGACGUUACUCGCAGAAUAAGCACCGGCUAACUCUGUGCCAGCAGCCGCGGUAAUACAGAGGGUGCGAGCGUUAAUCGGAUUUACUGGGCGUAAAGCGUGCGUAGGCGGCUAAUUGAGUCGGAUGUGAAAUCCCCGAGCUUAACUUGGGAAUUGCAUUCGAUACUGGUUAGCUAGAGUGUGGGAGAGGAUGGUAGAAUUCCAGGUGUAGCGGUGAAAUGCGUAGAGAUCUGGAGGAAUACCGAUGGCGAAGGCAGCCAUCUGGCCUAACACUGACGCUGAGGUACGAAAGCAUGGGGAGCAAACAGG